AGAGUUUGAUCCUGGCUCAGGAUGAACGCUAGCUACAGGCUUAACACAUGCAAGUCGAGGGGAAACGGCAUUGAGUGCUUGCACUGAAUGGACGUCGACCGGCGCACGGGUGAGUAACGCGUAUCCAACCUUCCCAUAACUAAGGGAUAACCUACCGAAAGGCAGACUAAUACCUUAUGUAAUUCUUAGAUGACAUCAGAAGAGAAUGAAAGAUUUAUCGGUUAUGGAUGGGGAUGCGUCUGAUUAGCUUGUUGGCGGGGUAACAGCCCACCAAGGCAACGAUCAGUAGGGGUUCUGAGAGGAAGGUCCCCCACAUUGGAACUGAGACACGGUCCAAACUCCUACGGGAGGCAGCAGUGAGGAAUAUUGGUCAAUGGGCGAGAGCCUGAACCAGCCAAGUAGCGUGCAGGAUGACGGCCCUAUGGGUUGUAAACUGCUUUUGUAUGGGGAUAAAGUUAGGGACGUGUCCCUAUUUGCAGGUACCAUACGAAUAAGGACCGGCUAAUUCCGUGCCAGCAGCCGCGGUAAUACGGAAGGUCCGGGCGUUAUCCGGAUUUAUUGGGUUUAAAGGGAGCGUAGGCCGGAGAUUAAGUGUGUUGUGAAAUGUAGACGCUCAACGUCUGACUUGCAGCGCAUACUGGUUUCCUUGAGUACGCACAACGUUGGCGGAAUUCGUCGUGUAGCGGUGAAAUGCUUAGAUAUGACGAAGAACUCCGAUUGCGAAGGCAGCUGACGGGAGCGCAACUGACGCUUAAGCUCGAAGGUGCGGGUAUCGAACAGGAUUAGAUACCCUGGUAGUCCGCACAGUAAACGAUGGAUGCCCGCUGUUGGUACCUGGUAUCAGCGGCUAAGCGAAAGCAUUAAGCAUCCCACCUGGGGAGUACGCCGGCAACGGUGAAACUCAAAGGAAUUGACGGGGGCCCG
rnacentral:rRNA from 1 species